rnacentral:tRNA from 1 species
AGGGAUUUAAGUUAUACUAAACUAACAGCCUUCAAAGCUUUCAUUGACAAACAGUCAAUCUCUA